CCUGCUAAUACACAUUGUUAGGU
rnacentral:siRNA from 1 species